GAUGUAUAGAAGUAGGAAUAAAUCUGCAAUUUGGCAAGUGCUCCAGAUGCAGAACACAGUGCAUGCUUAUAAUAAGAAAAUAUAAUAACUGUCUUAGACUCAUACAUGGUAACUCUGACAAAGAGGAAUUUAUAUAGUCGAAACUUCUUGAAAACAGCCUCACCUGCAUAAGUGUUUUCUGAGCUCUGGCCCCGAGGGCCUCGAGUUUCCUGACAAAGUUUUCUCCUGUUAUUUGUCCCCCUUGGAGACUCGAAAUUCUUCAUCACUUAGAAGCAAGAUAGAAAUUUGGAGGCCAUGAAGCAUAACGGAAUUAUCGUCUGUAAGAGCCAGGGUCUUACUGGCUACCCUUCUUUGUCAAGGGCCAAUUUUGGCUGAGGAAUGAAGACAGUGGCCACUGCAUUCCAGGAUACCACCAGGACAGUAAUUCUCCAUUGACCAUGGAAAACCUAAAGAGAGGAGUCACUGACAUGAAACGCUAACAGAAAGAUUUGCAACAUCUUGCUCGAUUCUGAAGUGGUUAAAAUUUUAUAAUAGGAACUUUAAUGACAAGAAAAAGAGUCGCAGAAAGAGCAUUGCUCACUGAGCACUUGACAUCACCGCGCGGGAAUGAGGAUUGUC